rnacentral:rRNA from 1 species
UACAGAGGGUGCGAGCGUUAAUCGGAAUUACUGGGCGUAAAGCGCGCGUAGGCGGCUUUGCAAGUCGGGUGUGAAAUCCCCAGGCUUAACCUGGGAACUGCAUUCGAGACUGCAUUGCUAGAGUAUGGGAGAGGGAAGUGGAAUUUCCGGUGUAGCGGUGAAAUGCGUAGAUAUCGGAAGGAACAUCAGUGGCGAAAGCGACUUCCUGGACCAAUACUGACGCUGAGACGCGAAAGCGUGGGGAGCAAACAGG